rnacentral:ncRNA from 1 species
CCCGCUGAACUUAAGCAUAUCAAUAAGCGGAGGAGAAGAAACCAACCAGGAUUCCCUCAGUAACGGCGAGUGAAGAGGGAGAAGCCCAGUACCGAAGCCUGCGGCAGGUUUGUCGGUAGGCCAUGUGGUGUGUGGGUUGGCUGGCGGGACCGCCGCUCCACUCCAAGUCCAGCAUUGAGUAUGGUUGUGAGUGAAUUUGGCCCAUAGAGGGUGAUAGGCCCGUAGGAGUGGAGGCUCAGGCAGGUGAGGCGGUUCACCAGGCCGGCUCAGGAGUCGGGUUGUUUGAGAUUGCAGCCCAAAGUGGGUGGUAAACUCCAUCCAAGGCUAAAUACAGGCACGAGUCCGAUAGCGGACAAGUACCGUGAGG